UAUUCCAUGAUAAUGGGUUAGGUAAAUGUUUCAUGAUAAUGGUUUAGAUAAAUGUUUCAUGAUAAGAAUUUCAUGUCUUUUGUAUUAAAGAAUUAAAUGGAUGAAAUAUGAAGUUUUAUUAAAAGAAAAAGGGGUGAAAAGAACAAAGUUUUGUCCAUCUUUGUUCAUCAUAGCUUAAAGUUAGAGAAGAGAAAAGAGAGGAGAAAGCUCUUGAGUAUUUGGUCAUUAGGAGGAGGAAAAUUGAAGGCGGUUCGUGUGUGGAUCUCGUCAGCAUAUCGUCGCAAACAGGAAAUCCCCAACCAUAGUGGGCUUGAAGCUGUGAGGGAAUUCGGAGUGGCCACCCGUUCUGAAAGUUUGAUUUUCUUUUGGUGAACUGGACAUCCUUUUAAUUACGUUUGAGGUUUUGGGCUUUUAAAUGUAAUAAGGCCACUUAUUUAUUUUUGAUGGUUUUUAUAUGUUUUAUUAAGAUAGAUAAUAUUUAUUUUAACUGUUGAAAUUGGAUAGCUUUAGGGCGCGUUUUCAAAAACAACAGUUGAUUUCAAAAUAACACGACAACAAGCAAAGCUUCCGCAAUAAAA